ACCUGUGCCGUAUACCGAGACAUUGUUGUUUGGUGGCGCGCCAUGAGCUUUUCAAACGAUGUGGCUUGGCUCAUGAGCUGCGAAACACCGAGCAGCAGAACCGCACCAGCGCAACACAAGAGAAGGCUCAAAGCGCUUCGAGUAAUGUCAGCAGACUAUUUCAGUAGCUGAUGCAGCGAUUGGCAUCCCGCCUACACCGUGCCCCCGUGGUGGAAAUGCUAGCCAGCUGAACUCUGAAAGGAAGCCACACGGCGGUGAGAUCGCGGCUGUGCGGAACCACGAGGAUACGAAAGCAGUGAAAAAGGAUCCGCUACAAAAAUGUAUGAAUGUGUGAGAUGGGAAGCGUGUGACUCCUUGCGGCACACUUGCGGUCCCUUUCCAUUUCGGUCUUCGUUCCAUCAAAAAAAAAAAAAUGCUCGCCGGAACUUUUAGUCAUCCUUCAUAUCACCUCAAGGAAGCAAGACUUUCAGCAGUAACGGAUAAAUGAGGCCUUUUGUUAUGCGGCGCGAAGCCUCUUCCUCCUCCGCCGCAUUUUUCCUUACAACCCGUUUGCAAGCAUUCCCACAGAGCGACGUAUUUACCCGAGAAUCGCGCACGUCUUUAACCCGCCUUGGCCCUGUGUGUACAAGAGGGAUUGUCGUCAUCAGCGGAGGCAAAGAGAAGAAGAAGGUGGCGAUGGAGAGCGAGAGUAAGAAACAGAGAGCCUGUGUGCGAGUGGAACAAAAUAGACGAAAAAAAAAAA